GUUGAACGCUUGAUUUUCACCGAAGCUUGCUUCACCGAAAAUCAACCCUUUAGAACGGGUGAGUAACGCGUGGGUAACCUACCUUUCCCUGGGGGAUAACUAUUGGAAACGAUAGCUAAUACCGCAUAACAAUGUUGGAUGCAUAUUCGACACUUGAAAGUACCAAUUGGUACACUGAGAGAUGGACCCGCGUUGUAUUAGCUAGGGGGUAGUGUAAUGGACUACCAAGGCGAUGAUACAUAGCCGACCUGAGAGGGUGAUCGGCCACAUUGGGACUGAGACACGGCCCAAACUCCUACGGGAGGCAGCAGUAGGGAAUCUUCGGCAAUGGACGAAAGUCUGACCGAGCAACGCCGCGUGAGUGAAGAAGGUUUUCGGAUCGUAAAACUCUGUUGUUAGAGAAGAACGUUGCAUAGAGUGGAAAAUUAUGCAAGUGACGGUAUCUAACCAGAAAGGGACGGCUAACUACGUGCCAGCAGCCGCGGUAAUACGUAGGUCCCGAGCGUUGUCCGGAUUUAUUGGGCGUAAAGCGAGCGCAGGUGGUUUAAUAAGUCUGAUGUAAAAGGCAGUGGCUUCACCAUUGUGUGCAUUGGAAACUGUUAGACUUGAGUGCAGUAGAGGAGAGUGGAAUUCCAUGU
rnacentral:rRNA from 1 species